rnacentral:rRNA from 1 species
GACAGGGGAUGCAAGCGUUAUCCGGAAUGAUUGGGCGUAAAGCGUCUGUAGGUGGCUUUUUAAGUCUGCCGUCAAAUCCCAGGGCUCAACCCUGGCCAGGCGGUGGAGACUACUAAGCUGGAGUACGGUAGGGGCAGAGGGAAUUUCCGGUGGAGCGGUGAAAUGCGUAGAUAUCGGAAAGAACACCAAGGGCGAAGGCACUCUGCUAGGCCUGAUUUCGCGACUGACGCUCAGGGACGAGAGCCAGGGGAGCGAAUGGG